ensembl:snRNA U6 U6 spliceosomal RNA
AUGCCUCACUUUGGCAGCACAUAUACUAAAAUUGGGAUGAUAAAGAAGAUUAGCAUGGCCCUUGUGCAAGGAUGACACACAAAUCUGUGAAGCGUUCCAUAUUUAA